AAGAGUCAAGACCCAUCAGUGUGCUGUAUUCAGGAAACCCAUCUCACGUGCAGAGACACACAUAGGCUCAAAAUAAAAGGAUGGAGGAAGAUCUACCAAGCAAAUGGAAAACAAAAAAAGGCAGGGGUUGCAAUCCUAGUCUCUGAUAAAACAGACUUUAAACCAACAAAGAUCAAAAGAGACAAAGAAGGCCAUUACAUAAUGGUAAAGGGAUCAAUUCAACAAGAAGAGCUAACUAUCCUAAAUAUAUAUGCACCCAAUACAGGAGCACCCAGAUUCAUAAAGCAAGUCCUGAGUGACCUACAAAGAGACUUAGACUCCCACACAUUAAUAAUGGGAGACUUUAACACCCCACUGUCAACAUUAGACAGAUCAACGAGACAGAAAGUCAACAAGGAUACCCAGGAAUUGAACUCAGC
rnacentral:lncRNA from 10 species